AGAGUUUGAUCCUGGCUCAGGACGAACGCUGGCGGCGUGCUUAACACAUGCAAGUCGAACGAUGAAGCUGGAGCUUGCUCCGGUGGAUUAGUGGCGAACGGGUGAGUAACACGUGAGAAAUCUGCCCUUGACUCUGGGAUAACUGCGGGAAACUGUAGCUAAUACCGGAUACUUUCCGAGGUGGGCAUCCACUUCGGAAGAAAGAAUUUCGGUCAAGGAUGAUCUCGCGGCCUAUCAGCUAGUUGGUGAGGUAACGGCUCACCAAGGCGACGACGGGUAGCCGGCCUGAGAGGGUGACCGGCCACACUGGGACUGAGACACGGCCCAGACUCCUACGGGAGGCAGCAGUGGGGAAUAUUGCACAAUGGGCGCAAGCCUGAUGCAGCAACGCCGCGUGAGGGAUGACGGCCUUCGGGUUGUAAACCUCUUUUAGCAGGGAAGAAGCGAAAGUGACGGUACCUGCAGAAAAAGCACCGGCUAACUACGUGCCAGCAGCCGCGGUAAUACGUAGGGUGCAAGCGUUGUCCGGAAUUAUUGGGCGUAAAGAGCUCGUAGGCGGUUUGUCACGUCUGCUGUGAAAAUCCAAGGCUCAACCUUGGACUUGCAGUGGGUACGGGCAGGCUAGAGUGCGGUAGGGGAGAUGGGAAUUCCUGGUGUAGCGGUGGAAUGCGCAGAUAUCAGGAGGAACACCAAUGGCGAAGGCACAUCUCUGGGCCGUAACUGACGCUGAGGAGCGAAAGCGUGGGGAGCGAACAGGAUUAGAUACCCUGGUAGUCCACGCCGUAAACGGUGGGUGCUAGCUGUGGGCCACAUUCCACGUGGUCCGUGACGAAGUUAACACAUUAAGCACCCCGCCUGGGGAGUACGGCCGCAAGGCUAAAACUCAAAGGAAUUGACGG
rnacentral:rRNA from 1 species